ACAGCAAUCGCAGCUCCUUGUACCUCCAAACGCCUGACGAGCGGGAAGACCAAGAUGGUGACGAUGCAGACCGAGGAGAGGCUUUCUACUGCUGUCUUCCUCGCAUUCCCACAUCUAACUCAGCCAACCAAAGCCGCUGUCUCCUUUUGCUCGCCAACCAAACCGUUUUGUCAGAAACAGGAAGGUUGCCAUGGAAAUGGGCAGAUAAAGGGGGGUGGUGCAGGAUCAGGGUGACCUGUCUGGUGCUGUUGGGUGUGUUUUUCCUCGUUGUGGUUACAGUUGUGAUCGGAAAAAUCUACGCGGGGGCACGCUUGAACAAAAAACCUGUUGUGCAUCCCAUUGCUUACUACUCCGCUACUCAGCAGAUAAAAGGAACACCGUACCGUUCCAAUCGGAUUCAGUCUCUGCCUG